UCUUCGGAGUCUGGUGUGGUCGCGCAGAUCCCGGACGAGCCCCCAAAAUGAAAGAUCCCACGCAGAGAGACCCUUUCUAAAGUCGCGGGAAAUCGCGGACCCCAGACACAGAGAGACCA
rnacentral:pre_miRNA from 14 species